rnacentral:rRNA from 1 species
CCUACGGGCGGCAGCAGUGAGGAAUAUUGGUCAAUGGGCGAGAGUCUGAACCAGCCAAGUAGCGUGAAGGAUGACUGCCCUAUGGGUUGUAAACUUCUUUUAUAUGGGAAUAAAAUGUUCCACGUGUGGGUUUUUGUAUGUACCAUAUGAAUAAGGAUCGGCUAACUCCGUGCCAGCAGCCGCGGUAAUACGGAGGAUCCGAGCGUUAUCCGGAUUUAUUGGGUUUAAAGGGAGCGUAGGUGGAUUGUUAAGUCAGUUGUGAAAGUUUGCGGCUCAACCGUAAAAUUGUAGUUGAUACUGGCAGUCUUGAGUACAGUAGAGGUGGGCGGAAUUCGUGGUGUAGCGGUGAAAUGCUUAGAUAUCACGAAGAACUCCGAUUGCGAAGGCAGCUCACUGGACUGCAACUGACACUGAGGCUCGAAAGUGUGGGUAUCAAACAGGAUUAGAUACCCGUGUAGUC